UACAGAGACUGCAAGCGUUAUUCGGAUUCACUGGGCGUAAAGGGUGCGCAGGCGGCCAAGUGUGUGAGGCGUGAAAGCCUGGAGCUUAACUCCAGAAUUGCACCUCAAACUACUUGGCUAGAGCAUUGGAGAGGGUAGCAGAAUUCAUGGUGUAGCAGUGAAAUGCGUAGAUAUCAUGAGGAAUACCAGAGGCGAAAGGCGGCUACCUGGACAAAUUGCUGACGCUCAGGCA
rnacentral:rRNA from 1 species